GAGGGAACGCGGGGAAGUGAAACAUCUCAGUACCCGUAGGAGAAGAAAACAAUUGUGAUUCCGCAAGUAGUGGCGAGCGAACGUGGAAUAUGGCUAAACCGCACACAUGUCUAACUAGGUAGGGGUUGUGUGUGCGGUGUUGUGGGAUUGGUAUGUCUCAACUCUACCUGGUUGAGGGGUAGUCAGAAAGUGCCGUGGUUAGCGGAAAUGGCCUGGGAUGGCCUGCCGUAGACGGUGAGAGCCCAGUACGCGAAAGCCUGGCACCUGCCUUGUAUCAAUUCCCGAGUAGCAGCGGGCCCGUGGAAUCUGCUGUGAAUCUGCCGGGACCACCCGGUAAGCCUAAAUACUUCUCGAUGACCGAUAGCGGAUCAGUACCGUGAGGGAAUGGUGAAAAGUACCCCGGGAGGGGAGUGAAAUAGUACCUGAAACCGUGUGCCUACAAUCCGUCAGAGCCUCUUUGUGGGGUGAUGGCGUGCUUUUUGAAGAAUGAGCCUGCGAGUCAGGGACAUGUCGCGAGGUUAACCCGUGUGGGGUAGCCGCAGCGAAAGCGAGUCUGAAUAGGGCGUAUCACGUGUGAGCGUGUGUAGUGGCGUGUUCUGGACCCGAAGCGGAGUGAUCUACCCAUGGCCAGGGUGAAGCGCGGGUAAGACCGCGUGGAGGCCCGAACCCACUUAAGUUGAAGAUUGAGGGGAUGAGUUGUGGGUAGGGGUGAAAGGCCAAUCAAACUCCGUGAUAGCUGGUUCUCCCCGAAAUGCAUUUAGGUGCAGCGUUGCGUGGUUCACCACGGAGGUAGAGCUACUGGAUGGCCGAUGGGCCCUACUAGGUUACUGACGUCAGCCAAACUCCGAAUGCCGUGGUUUAAAAGCGUGGCAGUGAGACGGCGGGGGAUAAGCUCCGUACGUCGAAAGGGAAACAGCCCAGAUCGCCGGCUAAGGCCCCUAAGCGUGUGCUAAGUGGAAAAGGAUGUGCAGUCGCAAAGACAACCAGGAGGUUGGCUUAGAAGCAGCCACCCUUGAAAGAGUGCGUAAUAGCUCACUGGUCAAGUGAUUGUGCGCCGAUAAUGUAGCGGGGCUCAAGCACACCGCCGAAGCCGCGGCACAUUCACCUUCUAGGGUGGAUGUGGGUAGGGGAGCGUUCCUCAUUCAGCGAAGCCUCCGGGUAACCGGUGGUGGAGGGUGGGGAAGUGAGAAUGCAGGCAUGAGUAGCGAUAAGGCAAGUGAGAACCUUGCCCGCCGUAAGACCAAGGGUUCCUGGGCCAGGCCAGUCCGCCCAGGGUGAGUCGGGACCUAAGGCGAGGCCGACAGGCGUAGUCGAUGGACAACGGGUUGAUAUUCCCGUACCCGUGUGUGUGCGCCCGUGAUGAAUCAGCGGUACUCACCACCCAAAACCGGAUCGACCAUAUCCCCUUCGGGGGCUAUGGAGGUUCGGGGCUGCGUGGGAACUUCGUUGGUAGUAGUCAAGCGAUGGGGUGACGCAGGAAGGUAGCCGUACCAGUCAGUGGUAAUACUGGAGCAAGCCCGUAGGGAGAGCGAUAGGCAAAUCCGUCGUUCGUGAAUCCUGAGAGGUGAUGCAUAGCCGAUUGAGGCGAAUUCGGUAAGCCUCUGCUGCCAAGAAAAGCCUCUAGCGAGCAUACAUGCGGCCCGUACCCCAAACCGACACAGGUGGUCAGGUAGAGCAUACCAAGGCGUACGAGAUAACUAUGGUUAAGGAACUCGGCAAAAUGCCUCCGUAACUUCGGGAGAAGGGGGGCCGGAAUAUCGUGAACACCCUUGCGGUGGGAGCGGGAUCCGGUCGCAGAGACCAGUGAGAAGCGACUGUUUACUAAAAACACAGGUCCGUGCGAAGUCGUAAGACGAUGUAUACGGACUGACGCCUGCCCGGUGCUGGAAGGUUAAGAGGACCUGUUAACCCGAAAGGGUGAAGCGGAGAAUUUAAGCCCCAGUAAACGGCGGUGGUAACUAUAACCAUCCUAAGGUAGCGAAAUUCCU
rnacentral:rRNA from 1 species